rfam:Hordeum vulgare subsp. vulgare, WGS project CAJW01000000 data, contig: morex_contig_2600355
GGAUGCGAUCAUACUAGCACUAAAGAACCAGAUCCCAUCAGAACUCCGAAAUUAAGCAUGCUUGGUCGAUAGUAGUAAUUGGCUAGGUGACCUCCUCAGAAGUCUUCGUGUUGCAUUCC